rnacentral:rRNA from 1 species
GCGUUGAAAAGCUCGGGGAUGACUUGUGGGUAGCGGUGAAAUUCCAAUCGAGCCCGGAGAUAGCUGGUUCUCCCCGAAAUAGCUUUAGGGCUAGCCUCAAGGUGAGAGAUACGGAGGUAGAGCACUGAAUGUCCUAGGGGGUAUUGCACCUACCGAAGACUAUCAAACUCCGAAUGCCGUCAUCUUAUACUUGGGAGUCAGACUGUGGGUGAUAAGAUUCAUAGUCGAAAGGGCAACAGCCCAGAUCGUCAGCUAAGGUCCCUAAAUGUAAGUUAAGUGGUAAAGGAUGUGGGAUUGCACAGACAACCAGGAUGUUGGCUUAGAAGCAGCCACUCAUUCAAAGAGUGCGUAAUAGCUCACUGGUCGAGUGAUCCUGCGCCGAAGAUUUCCGGGGCUAAAACUUACUACCGAAGCUACGGCAUCAGUAAUGAUGGGUAGGGGAGCUUCCCAUACGGGUUGAAGCAUGACCGUAAGGACAUGUGGACAGUAUGGGAGUGAGAAUGUUGGCAUGAGUAGCGAGAUGUGGGUGAGAAUCCCACAGGCCGUAAACCCAAGGUUUCCAGG